rnacentral:rRNA from 1 species
GAUGAACGCUGGCGGCGUGCCUAAUACAUGCAAGUCGAGCGAAUGGAUUAAGAGCUUGCUCUUAUGAAGUUAGCGGCGGACGGGUGAGUAACACGUGGGUAACCUGCCCAUAAGACUGGGAUAACUCCGGGAAACCGGGGCUAAUACCGGAUAACAUUUUGAACUGCAUGGUUCGAAUUGAAAGGCGGCUUCGGCUGUCACUUAUGGAUGGACCCGCGUCGCAUUAGCUAGUUGGUGAGGUAACGGCUCACCAAGGCAACGAUGCGUAGCCGACCUGAGAGGGUGAUCGGCCACACUGGGACUGAGACACGGCCCAGACUCCUACGGGAGGCAGCAGUAGGGAAUCUUCCGCAAUGGACGAAAGUCUGACGGAGCAACGCCGCGUGAGUGAUGAAGACUUUCGGGUCGUAAAACUCUGUUGUUAGGGAAGAACAAGUGCUAGUUGAAUAAGCUGGCACCUUGACGGUACCUAACCAGAAAGCCACGGCUAACUACGUGCCAGCCGCCGCGGUAA